rnacentral:rRNA from 1 species
CCAGACUCCUACGGGAGGCAGCAGUGAGGAAUAUUGGUCAAUGGACGAGAGUCUGAACCAGCCAAGUAGCGUGAAGGAUGACUGCCCUAUGGGUUGUAAACUUCUUUUAUAUGGGAAUAAAAUGUUCCACGUGUGGGAUUUUGUAUGUACCAUAUGAAUAAGGAUCGGCUAACUCCGUGCCAGCAGCCGCGGUAAUACGGAGGAUCCGAGCGUUAUCCGGAUUUAUUGGGUUUAAAGGGAGCGUAGGUGGAUUGUUAAGUCAGUUGUGAAAGUUUGCGGCUCAACCGCGGAACUGCAUUUGAAACUGUCAGUCUUGAGUACCGGAGAGGUCAUCGGAAUUCCUUGUGUAGCGGUGAAAUGCGUAGAUAUAAGGAAGAACACCAGUGGCGAAGGCGGAUGACUGGACGGCAACUGACGGUGAGGCGCGAAAGCGUGGGGAGCAAACAGGAUUAGAUACCCCAGUA